CCUACGGGGUGCAGCAGUGGGGAAUAUUGCGCAAUGGGCGAAAGCCUGACGCAGCGACGCCGCGUGAGGGAUGAAGGUCUUCGGAUCGUAAACCUCUGUCAGCAGGGAAGAACGGUCACUGUGCUAAUCAGCAGUGAAUUGACGGUACCUGCAAAGGAAGCACCGGCUAACUCCGUGCCAGCAGCCGCGGUAAUACGGAGGGUGCGAGCGUUAAUCGGAAUUACUGGGCGUAAAGCGCUCGUAGGCGGUAUGUCAAGUCAAGGGUGAAAUCCCCGCGCUCAACGUGGGAACUGCAUUUGAAACUGGCAAAGUGGAGUGUGUGAGAGGAUAGUGGAAUUCCAGGUGUAGGAGUGAAAUCCGUAGAUAUCUGGAGGAACAUCAGUGGCGAAGGCGACUAGCUGGAACAUAACUGACGCUGAGGAGCGAAAGCGUGGGUAGCAAACAGGAUUAGAUACCCCGGUAGUC
rnacentral:rRNA from 1 species